GUCUUUUUGGUUAAUAAUUUAAAGUCUAAUCUGCCCACUGAUAAUAUAUUAAAGGGCUGCAGUAUUUUGACUGUACAAAGGUAGCAUAAUCAUUAGUCUCUUAAUUGGUGACUUGUAUGAAAGAUUUGAUGAAAUAUAUACUGUCUCUGAUUAAUUUAUAAAAUUUAAUUUUUUAGUUAAAAAGCUAAAAUAAAUUUAAAAGACGAGAAGACCCUAUAGAGUUUAAUAUUUAUAUAAAUUGAGAUUUUAUAUAAGAAUUAUAAUUUUAAUAAUAUAUAAAUAUUUUGUUGGGGUGAUAAAAAAAUUAAAAUAACUUUUUUUAUAUUUUUACAUUUAUAAAUGAAUAAAUGAUCCAUAAUUUAUGAUUAUAAGAAAAAAUUACCUUAGGGAUAACAGCGUAAUUUUUUUUUUUAGUUCAAAUAAGAAAAAGAGUUUGCGACCUCGAUGUUGGAUUAAGAUAAAAUUUAAAUGCAAAAGUUUAAAAUUUUUGAUCUGUUCGAUCAUUAAAAUCUUACA
rnacentral:rRNA from 1 species